AGCGAACGCUGGCGGCAGGCCUAACACAUGCAAGCCGAACGAAGUCUUCGGACUUAGUGGCGGACGGGUGAGUAACACGUGGGAACGUGCCUUUAGGUUCGGAAUAACUCAGGGAAACUUGUGCUAAUACCGAAUGUGCCCUUCGGGGGAAAGAUUUAUCGCCUUUAGAGCGGCCCGCGUCUGAUUAGCUAGUUGGUGAGGUAAAGGCUCACCAAGGCGACGAUCAGUAGCUGGUCUGAGAGGAUGAUCAGCCACAUUGGGACUGAGACACGGCCCAAACUCCUACGGGAGGCAGCAGUGGGGAAUCUUGCGCAAUGGGCUAAAGCCUGACGCAGCCAUGCCGCGUGAAUGAUGAAGGUCUUAGGAUUGUAAAAUUCUUUCACCGGGGACGAUAAUGACGGUACCCGGAGAAGAAGCCCCGGCUAACUUCGUGCCAGCCGCCGCAGUAACAC
rnacentral:rRNA from 1 species